rnacentral:snoRNA from 1 species
UUACAUGAUGAUUAUAUUUGUCGACCGGGCGGACAUAUUAGUAUCAGUGAUGGAGUAGUCCUAUAUUGAUCUUUCUUUUUGUGUACAAAUUUUUAAAAGGAGAGUGUUAGGACAUUAUUGCUCCAUUGUUGAGAAUUGAUGAUUGGUCACAAGAUAUCUGAUU